CUUUACUUUAAAACAUUACAGCGAGUGCGGCGUCCCACCGGCUUCUGCCGAGUGUUCCCCUUUAGAAGUCAAAACGGCAUGUGAUUCGAUUUCACGCUCUUUUAUCCUUUAACUAGCCUGAUAACGGGGGGGGGGGGGGGGCGGAAAAAAGCAAUGAUGUUUGUGCGUGUGUGCGUAUAACAACUCUCCAUCAUCUCCUAGCAGAGGGUCCAUUAGCCCCGGACCCCCUCCCCUGUUGCCCAGUGAUAAAGUAAACCAUGUGUGUUUGGCCAAUCCGUCAUGCAAAUAUUUGUUCUGGAAGCUACCUCAUCCUACCGGAGCGACACACACACACACACACACACACACACGCGGCCCGUGCUGAGGUAUAUAUGCAGUGCCCAGCCUGGCGGCCCAGAGUCACAAACUUGCAUACAGAAAAGUCCUGGACCAGACCUUCCCUCGGACUUCGGCACAGCCACGCAACUGACCCUCUCGGUGUUGAGAAGCCGACAUGGCGGCGGGCGUCAUCAGAACCUUCCUCGUUCAGGCCCCGACCCCGGCCUACUUCCCGCUGAUCUUCCAGCGCUCGCCGUGCAAGGAAGACGAGGAUGUGGAGAUGCCGGAGGACAAGCCGGAGAUGACGGAAGAUGAGGAAGAGAGAGAGGUCGACGAGGAGGAGGAGGAGGAGGAUGUAGAAUCUGAAGCUCAGGAGGAAGAGGAGGAAUGCUUGGAGGUCUUCUUAAAUCCGGCCCACCGCGCUUCAGAUGUGACCAAGCGGCUGCUGAGGUUCGCCGAUCUCAUCAGCCGCGACGUCCAGCGGUACUUCGGCCGCUGCUCCGGCGAUCCGGAAGGCUGCGACAUCUACAGCGACUCGGUCUCCGUCGCGACCAGCGGCCGUCUGCGUUACUACGACGACCUUCUGAAAAUCGCGAGAGCGGGAGGCCAGGAGGGGCAAGAAGACAGCUCGGCGGCCUGCUCUGACGACCCGGGAGUCGGGGUCGCUAAGGGCAACAGCGGUUUGGGGCCCUUGGCCGAACUUUUCAGCCAACGGGGCCCGAGUCAGGGCCCCAACCGGCCGAUGAUCAAGCGGCUCCUACCGCUCAGUUUCUGGACCGAGCCGACGCCCUGCGGCUCUCUGGUCGCUUUCAGCAACACACCUGAGGUCACGCACGCGCACGGUGACACACUUUCGCAGGACAGCGCGCACACAGACUCUAACACACGCGCGCAGUGCGAUCCGCUGCCACAGCACGACACACACGCCCUGGAAAACGCUCAGCUGGACUUCAGUGACUUGCUGGCAUACUGGGAUCCGAACCCAGAGCUCGCACACACGCUGACGGAGGACACACACAUGCAGCACUGAACACGGCGGCCCACAGCAGCUUCAUUCACAUUCGUUUCAACCUUGAAAGAUACUUGUAAAAAGAUUAAUAAAGGACAAAGAAAAAAACGGAGACAAAUUGAUUUGGGAUUCGCUCAUUUUUCAUCUGGCAGUUUAUCAUUCAUGUGAUUUGAUCUGAAUGUUUGGACGUCAGAGUUAAAGCAGAGCAAGGAGGGAAUCA
ensembl:lncRNA